rnacentral:lncRNA from 1 species
UUUUUUUUUUUUUUUUUCAAGUUAGUCUGGUUGGAUACUAAGAAUCAUACUACAUAGUAACUGAUAGGUCUGUCUGCUAUAUAAGAAUUUUAGCUUGUGCAUCCAAUACAUCCGGGAUUUUAUUGUAGGCCAUAAACAAGGGUGACCCAUAUGGUGCCCAGAUUAGUGUCUGAUCACUUCAAUUGUAAAUGGCGGAUGUGCCCUCACAACUUCUUUGCCUUUUUUUUUUUUUUGGAUUGACCUACUCAAGAAUAGCAUUUUGGUUUAUUAUUCGUCCAUUUUUAAGGUGAAUUACACCACACAAAAAAAAAAAAAAAAAGAAGCCCUGAUGUAUCUUAUUUUGCCCUUUGACUAGUGAAUUAAAUUUUGAGGUCAAUAUGAACAGUCCUUUCAGUCAUCCAUCUUGUGACAAAAAAUUGGUGAAUGGUCCUUUUCUAAGAUCUUCUUUGAACAUAUGGUUAUAGAGCCAUUUUCCUUCUAUUUAAUGCCAAAAUUAUGCAUGUCAACCGACCAAUUUCACACCUACUGCAAAACUGCAUGCAUCAUCAUCGAAAGUCUCUCACGGAUGGAGAGCAGAGGCAUUUGGCAUCAGAUUGGCCCGGAUGGCAUUGGCAUGUGAAGAUCGAAAGUAUGCCAACUACACCAUUCCAAAUGUCAACCGGCCAUUUUGGAAUGUCACAUUGUGAAUCUGCCUCUUUUCUUGUGGAUGAGUUCUGGCAAAAUGGACUGCAUUUGGUAGCUGGAUUUAUUUUGUCCGGCCUUGAGUUUGAGUGCAUAUGGCAAAAAUUAUUGGAAUUAGCCAAAAUGGAAAAAGAAAGAAGGGUAAAAUUGCCUUAAUGAAGCCAAGGCCUUGGCUUUACAAUAUGUACGCUUGAACACCAAAGAAGAAGGGACCCUAGCGACCGGCCUUGGCUUUAGUUUACACUGAAGCUUCACAGCCCUUACUGAAGCAGUCACCAAAGCCACACGGGGCUAUUGAAGUCUCACAGAAUUUCAUUUUCGGCUAUGACGUGACUGACGCCCGCGUUUGACAUAUAAAAAUCUGAUAUAGAUCCUUUGCUUUACAAAGAAGGUUCUCCCUCUGUCCCACUUUGAUAGUUUUAUUUUCCUUUUUCGUCUGUCCCAAAUUAUAGUCCACUUUCCCAUUAAGAAAUGUAAUAAUCUUUUAAAUUGUCUAAAAUACCCUUAUUAAAUAUCUUGUUAUUAAUAUAUUGUUAUUAAAUACUAACCCACUGCAUUGAAUAUAUUGAGCUUCUCCAAUACUAAUCCAUUAGCUGUAACUGAUAUUAAUUGGCACUCUUCGUGAUUAGCAUAAGGGUAUUUUAGGAAAUUAUUAAUCUAAAUUUAUGUUUUCAACCAAAUUAAUUACACUUUCGUAAUCUGUGUGAAAAAAAAAUCAAGACUAACAAAACGGGACGGAGGGAGUAAUAUUUUUUUAUUUGACUUUUAUACUUAUCUCCAACUCGCGAAUUCCUCCUAUUCAUCUAAUUUAAGGCAUCGGAGUCAUUUCAAGCUCGGCACCGAUCUCUUCCUAUUCACACAAACACAAAACAAAUAAAAUAGCACUAAUUAAUGUUGUUUACUCAAAGAUAAAUACAGACAUUAUAGCAAUGCAGCACUUUAGCAUUUCCUUUGCACCAGUCAAUUCUUUACAGCCCACACUUCCCCCUGCAACUCAUAUUCUAAUCCCAGAUUCCCCCUUCACUCUCAAUUUGUUAAUUAUUCUUCCAAGGCCCCUCAUUUUGGUUUGACUUUCACAUUCUAGACCAACCAUGAAUCACCAAUGUAACACAUUAACCUACAUUACACCAUACUAUACUAUUCUAUAGUCCCCCUACGCCAUAGGCCAUAGGCCAUUCCAACCAACCUUUUGCUACUCUUCGGACUUCUCUCCUCUCUAGUAGUGUCCAAUACAGAAAACAUUCGGUUCCAUAAUCCAUGUAAUCCCACCGCCUUCUUCCUGCACCUCUUUUUCACACACUGAAACACACACAAAGACGCAUAGUUGAGAGUGAUGAAUCAGUAGCACUAAUGGAGGAGGUGUCAGCAUCUUAUGAUCAGUGCAGCUAUUGGGAUGCUGUAUUGGAGCUAACAAAGUUGGCCCAAGAAAAUGGAAGUGACCCUCUAUUGUGGGCAAUUCAAGUUUCCGCGAACAUGAGUUCUUCAGGGGUGUCUUUCCCUUCUUUUGAGUUAGCCAACUUCCUGGUUUCUUACAUUUUCUGGGAAAACAAUGUUCCUAUAACUUGGAAAUUCCUAGAGAAAGCUUUGGUUCUCAAGAUUGUGCCUUCUCUUCCUGUUCUUGCACUGCUCUCCACAAGGUCUCUCUACUCUCCACCUUCUGUUUUAUGGAUUCUUGGUUUUAGUUGAAUAUGUCUUUAAAACUCCUAUCUCUUUCUCAAAUCUUUUCCGGGAUUUGCAUAUCAUGUUGGAAGAGUCAAUUUUUGGAUACUUAGAAAACAGGGAAGAUUAAUUGAGACCUUUAGUUUAAUAUGAAUAACUUAUCAAUUAAUGCAUAUGUCCUACGUUAUAAUUCUCAAGUUUGUUGUCCUACCACACUUUGCUGACUACCUAUACAUUCAUAAAAGAAAUCAUUACGCGUAAGUGUUUCACAACUCUAUCUUCAAUGUUCUGAAGUUUGAACCGCUAGCUCACUUUCUAUGUGUCCCACUGGCGUUUGUGGGUCUUGAAUGUGAAUCAGACUAUUGUGCUCCCAGCCACAUUACUAAAAUAUCAAGAAUUUGUAGAAAAAAGAUGGACUUUUUUCUGGAAUUGAUUAUUUGUCUAGCUGUUCUUAAUUAUGUUAUAUCGUUUGUUUUUCUAGUGAAGUUUCCCUUGCAAUGUGGUUAUCUUUUGAUUGAAUUUUGUCUUCUGAGAUAAUGCUGUAUAAUGGAGGUGUCCAUACUGUACACCAUUUUUUAUUUGUACCUCUUCCGAUGUUCUUACAUUUGCAUCUUCCAAAUACUUGGAAUAAUUAUGACUGAGAACAAUAAUGAACUUUGCUCUUCAUCUCUACUUCUUUACAGGGUAAUCCCAAAUCGACAUUCCUGUCCAGCAGCAUUUAGGCUUUAUAUGGAACUUCUAAAGACGCAUGCAUUCGAGUUUGAGAGUCAUUCAAAGUUACCUAAUUAUCAGAAGUGAGUAUUUCUUUUAACGCAUCCUUGCACGUAAAAUUCUUUUUAAUGUUGAUCUAUUUGCUAAAUUUCCUAGUAGUGUCAGGCUGUUUAGCUGUGCCAUUUCGGUUACUGAAAUUUGUUUUCAUGUCCCAGCCUUUUCCUAAGUGGCUUUCAUUAUUAUUGAUGUCUGAUGAAUUUUUUUCCAGAUUUUAUUGAACAUUGUCUUGCUAUACCUCGUUGGAUACUCUCCGUCCUGGUUUAUCUGGGACACUUAGUAUUUUUGUAUGUUAGGAAAGGUUUGAUACUUCCCUCAGAAGUGAAGUUUUUCAAACGGUUGAUAUUUGAAGGUGUAGUUGCCCACCAUAUCUUACCUUGUUGUUUUGCUUUCAACAUACAGCAGCAUAAUGUCUCCCAUGUUCCCUAUCUUUUAAUCACUACAAAUACAUUUUCCAUUCUCGCAUCAAAUACUCUGUUCAGUCAAGUAUUACCACUUAUGCUUUGGUGAAGCAAUGCUCAAUCAUUUACUUUGCCAUUGAAAUGGUCUUUCCUCCUUGCUAGACUGUGGCCUCCAAAUUUAAUGAUAUGUGUUGUUCCCAUAAAAAAAUAAAUGGCUUUUUUUAGCUGUCUCGGUAUAACUUAAUAGCUCAACAUUUAAUCGCUCAAGAUUUUAAUUAUAACUGAAUAGCUCAAGAUUUAGUCCCCCAAAAACCUUGUCUUCCCUUCAUUGAGUUGGAUGAAAGGGAGAGGGCAAGGGGAAUAACCUCUUGCCUUAAAUGGCUUUUUUUUGCUCUUUUGUCUGAAUAGAUGUGGAAUUUUGUAAUUCCCAUUAGCAACUUGUAUUGCGCUUGUUAUCCUUGUUCAUGGCCAUGUUAAUCUUUUCUCUGCCUUUCCUAUCACUAGAUUUAAAAGACUCUUCAUAGUUCCCACUGCGUCUGGUAUUCUUGUUUUUCAAUGUGCAUCUCAAAAUCUUAAUCCUAUAAUCUGUCUGCUGCAUGCAGGAUCAGGAAGUCAAUUAGUAAUAUUAUCCACUCCUCUCAGAUAUUUGAUGUACAAGCAGAUGAACCUGGAGUUCUUGUGAUUCAGAUUGUCUUUUCAAUUGUUUGGCAAUUGCUUGAUGCAUCCUUGGAUGAUGAAGGGUUGCUGAAACUUACCCCUGAAAAAAAUUCUAGAUGGCCCACUAAACUGCAGGACAUGGAGAUUGAUGGCUACAAAAAUUCUGAUGUAAUGAGGCUUGAAAACAAAGAGAGAUUGAAGAAUGCUAAUACUGUCAUGGCCAUAGAGUUGAUAGGCAAAUUUCUGCAAAACAAAGUAACUUCCAGGAUUAUUUAUUUGGCUCGCCAAAGCAUGUCAGAACUUCAUUCCUUGCACUUUUUCUUUUCAGCUUUAAUAUGCAGUUUUCUUUACAUGUUUUAAGAGUUAAGGGUUUCAUGAAAUGAAUAACACAAAUCAUAUCCUGAUGAGCUUUUUGUCCAUAAUUCACAAUUAUUCAAUUCCUCAGUUAAACUAGCAUCUUUUGAGGAUCAAAAAGUCAACUUAGAUUUCAAGAUGUACGUAUUUUGAGGAUAAAUUUAUGGGCAGUGUUUUAAUUCCCUGACUUCUAAAUUGUUGAUUGCUUUAAUGAUGUAUAUUAUGCUCUUAUUCUCCCCUACCAUAUUGCCCUGAAUGAAUGACAUUAAUAAACUACUUGCUUACUGCCUUUUCAGGAGAAGACCUUGGGGUGGUUUUGUCCAGCGAAUUCAACUGCUUGUAUCACAUUCCACAGCAUUAAGAAAUUCAAAACUUCUAACAUCAGAGACUCUUCUAAAGUUGAUACAUAAUAGUCCCAAGUUAAUGCUGCAGCGUCCCAGAAGAUGUGCUCCAGAGGAGCUACCUGGUGUUGGGCAUUUUAAAUCUCUAGCAUAUAGGUCUGGUUGUCGUGUUGGGCUUAGUUGUGCUUCGCUUUGGCUUCCUCUUGAUUUGAUAUUGGAAGAUGCAAUGGACAAUUCACAAGUUAAUGCAACUAGUUCUGUUGAAACUGUUACUGGUAAAUUCAUUUUGCAUUGUAUCUAAAAUGAAAAUCAGUGCAGAAAAUUUCCUUAAAGUAUGCCAUUCCUUAUUCUUUCAGGUCUAGUAAAAGCUCUUCAAGCAAUCAAUGGUAGCACUUGGCACGAGACUUUCCUAGGACUUUGGAAGGCAGCUUUACGUCUAGUUCAAAGGGUUAGAACUUCUGUUUCAUUAUUUCUUUUCAGGUUACAUCUGAAAGUUUUCUCCCUUCUGCCAUAAUUAUAACAAAAUUCCUCCAGAGAGAUUGAAUGCUCACGUUAAUUUUAGGGGGCAAAGAGUCCAAACAAUUUUUUUUUUCUUUUCAUCACGUUUAUAUAUAUAUUUGUGUGCAUAUAUGUGUUUAAGCCUUUUCAAUUACCUAACUGUUUUUUAUCUAAAGACUUGCAGGAUACUUUAUCAUGUCAAGAAGCAUCCAUGCUUGAGAUCAAUCUUCUUCUAGUUUUGAUUUGACCUUAUAUCCCAAUUUGCUUUUAGUGUACAGCAUAUCACUUCUUAUCAUAUCCAGAUAGAUUAUGGUUUCUUAUGUGCGGGGCAAUUCUAUGCUAAGUUUAUUUGUGUAGAGUUGACUUUUAUAAAACUAUCCACCUUUUCUGCACUUCCUUUGUAAAACAUCUGUUUUUCAUUAAUUGAAUCUAUUUGUAGGAAAGGGAUCCAAUUGAAGGGCCUGUUCCACGCCUAGAUACUCGACUAUGCAUGUUACUCUCUAUCACAACUCUUGUGGUUGCUGAUCUUAUUGAGGAAGAGGAAAGUGCUCCAACUGAUGAGAUUGAUGUUGACUUAGACAGUCAGUGCAAACAGACUACUGGAAAUCGUCGUGGGGAUUUGGCCUCUAGCUUACAGAAUCUGGGUGAUUUUGAGAUGCUUUUAACUCCUCCUCACUCUGUUAUUCCCGCAGCCAAUCAAGCAGCUGCAAAAGCAAUGAUGUUUGUUUCUGGAAUAAACGUUGGCAGUGCAUAUUUUGAAUCCAUCAGCAUGACAGAUAUUCCAACAAACUGUUGUAAGUGUUAUGACUUCUUAAAUGAAGUUUUAAACAUCUCACAAACUGGUCUUUAGAAGAGGAAGAUUGUGAAACUAUUUUGUGGUAAAUUCAGCAACUUUGCUUAACAGUUGUUGAAUUUAACUUCAACAAAUGCUUGUCGGGAAGAAUCAUGAGCAUGGUACCGGCAUGAAAUGGCCCAUGAUUAGUUUAAAUCUUCUACAAUAACGACCAGUGAGAAUAUGCCACCAGUUGCAUAACACUUACUGAUUAACCACAAGAAUGUUUUCUGUGACUAUGGUAUUGGAGGUCUAAAGAUUGAUCCUUCUUGCCUUUCUUGUGACAAUUUUCUGUUGUAUUAGUCCUGGUGUAAUUAUUCUGCUUUGAUGGUCAGAGUGGAUGCCUAUUUGGUGCUUCUUGCAAAUUUUAAUCCAGUUCAGAGAACACGAUGUGUUCAUAGAUUUAAAUGCUAAUUUGAGUAUCAUUUUACCACAUCUUGCUUGGUGCAGUUUCAAAUCGGAACUUUCCUUUGUUGCAUGAGUUUAAUUUUGUAUGGCUGAAAACAAGUUUCAGGACAGUCCAUCCUGUAGUGCUUUAAAGUAACUCACUGUUACUUCUUUUUGAUCUUUUAAGUUUUAGAAAUAUAAGGCAUCAGUUGUGCAAUAAAAUGAUAUUGUCUUUUCUUUUUUGGUGAGCUAUAAAACUUAAAUUUUCUAUCAUACUGUACUAAGUGCUGACCUAGCUCCAGUGAUGAUAGUAAGUGCAUCUUUUGCGGGAUAAUGUGUGAAAAAUGACAUUAUUGUAUUUUGAUAUGAUUAUUUUAUUAAGUCAAAUCUGAUAUGCCAAUGCCCUUGAUAUAGUUUGCAUGUAAGCGGAAAGGAAGGAACAAAUGGAGUUCUCAAAAAGUUGCUUGAUGUUGGAGGUUUAUUUGUAUGGAUUGGAAGAAUGAAAAUACAUAAUUUGAUUUGUCAAUGGAAGUGAUAAAGUUACUUAUGUUGUCUUAAUGCAGCUGGAAACCUGCGACAUGUAAUAGUCGAGGCCUGCAUUGCCAGAAAUUUACUGGAUACAUCUGCUUACUUCUGGCCAGGCUAUGCGAGUGGAAGCAUCAAUCAAUUACCCCACACUGUUCCCACUCAAAUUCCUAGUUGGUCCUCUUUCAUGAAGGGUGCCCCACUUACACCAUUGUUGAUAAAUGCUUUAGUUUCAGUGCCUGCUUCAAGGUAUGUCCCUAUCUUCUGAUGUGAGUUUUCUCUGCACCAAUUUUUUCAGACACAUUCAUCAGUUUUUGUAGUUAUAAAACAUGAGCCAAAAUAAUAAUUGACAAAAGUAAGAUUUUUAGGAGAGUUUUUUUUUUUUUUUGGGAAAUAGAUACUAGUACUAUGUUUAUCAUUGCUGGUAGCUCCAAAGGCACAAUAGAUGAUCUUGUAUAAACCUAUUAGAUUUCAUUGUGUCUUUCUACAUGAUUGCCUGGUCUUCAGUUAUAUAUUUUCUUUGCUGAAGCCAGGUAUAUCAGAUGGUCUUAUUUAUUGAUUUAGCAAGACUAAAGCAACUGAACUUAAGCUCAUGGGUUUAAUGCAAGCUUAGCAGAAUUGGAGAAGAUUUUUGAGACUGCGGUGAAAGGAUCUGAUGAUGAGAAGAUAGCUGCUGCAAGAAUUCUUUCUGGAGCUUCCUUAGUUCGUGGGUGGAAUAUACAGGUAAUUGGCAAUAAUGAAUUCUCCAAAAUUGCCUGUGGAUGCAGAGAGGUGGGAGAGCUGGGGGGGGGGGUGAAAAUGAGAGCUUGGCAUCAAUUUAACAUAGAACUGUAUGCCGAAUGGAGUUACUUUUCCUCAGAAUAAUCUAUGUAUUCUUUUAAUCACUUUCUUUCAUAUCAAUGUCUCCUGGGCAAAAAUUAACCUUAGUUUCUUAAUUUCAUCUUGGUCUUGAUCUUUCAGGAACACACAGCAUAUUUUAUAACCAGAUUGUUGUCUCCACCAGCUCCUGCUGACUACUCUGGGGAUGACAGCCAUUUGAUAGGUUUUGGGCCAAUGCUGAAUGUCUUACUUGUUGGCAUUGCACCUGUUGACUGCGUCCAGAUUUUUUCCCUGCAUGGCCUGGUAUAUGAUGAGUCUGAUCCCUGUCAACCACAUUUUACAUGUGGUAGUGCACUUAUUUCUAUUCCUGUCCUUGACAUGUGGAUUCUUACUGUCAAUCAGUACUAUGUAGCAUUAGUCAACUCAAACCUCAUUUUGUGCUUGUACUUCCAAAAAUUUAGCAUGCCAAUUCAGAAGAGUAUAAUUUGAAUGCCUUCAAUAAAACUUUGUUGACUUUCAUGGUGGAGUUAAAUUUUGCACACCAUGUAAAGGGAUAUGAGUGCAGUAAUGGACUGAAACAGUAGAGACUAGAAACUUGAGGAUAAGUUGGUGAAAGCAAUAUUCUGUAUCAGGAUAUAGAAAUAACAUAUGAAGAGCUUAGGACAUGCUUUCUUUCAUUUUGUAUAACUUUCACUGCAUCUGCCAGCUCAGUGGUGCUGGAAUGCUCGGAAUUUUCUCCACUGGUCCAAGUUUUGUUUGAGAUUUUUUUCUAACAUAGUUUCCUUUUCUCUGAGAUUUGAUGAUUAUCAUAAAUAACUAUGAAGAAUGGGUUUUCAUUUUUGUCAGGUUCCACAACUAGCUUGUUCACUGAUGACGAUAUGCGAGGUAUUUGGUUCAUGUAUUCCUAAUAUCUCAUGGACACUCACUACAGGAGAGGAAAUCUCUGCGCAUGCUGUAUUUUCAAACGCAUUUGCUCUUCUUCUAAAGCUAUGGAGGUUUAAUCAUCCUCCAAUUGAAUAUGGAGUGGGGGACUUACCACCAGUAGGGUCUCAACUAACUCCCGAGUACCUCCUACUUGUGCGUAAUUCCCUGCUAGUAUCUUCUGGAAACUUACUCAAGGAUCCAAAUAGAAGGAGAUUAGCCACUGUUGCAAGUGCUUCUUACCUGAAACCCAUCUUUGUAGACUCAUUUCCAAAACUAAAGGUUUGGUAUAGGCAACAUCUGGCAUGUAUAGCUUCACCCCUUUCUGGGCUUGUCCAUGGAACCCCUGUCCAUCAAACAGUUGAUGCCCUUCUAAACAUGAUGUUCAGAAAAAUUAGUAGAGGAAGCCAGUCAGCAACUUCCAUAACAUCUGGGAGUAGUAGUUCCUCUGGACCUGGCAGUGAAGAUACUCUUCCAAGGCCAAUAUUACCUGCUUGGGAUAUACUUGAAGCUGUCCCUUUUGUGGUUGAUGCUGCUCUAACCAGUUGUGCUCAUGGGAUACUGUCUCCUCGGGAAUUGUGCACAGGUUGGUUCAUGUCAUGUUUGAGCUUCUGUUGGUGAUGAAACUUGGAAAUUAAUUUCUUAAUACCACAUAUGCAUUAGUAUCUUCUUCGUUUAAAUAAUUUGUGCCUUGUUGUCCUGAAGUAUCUUACUGUCCUCUCUAUGAUUUGUCUCCAUAAUUGGAAACCAGUCCACUGUGGCUAGUGUGGCAUCUUCCUGAGGAAAUAGUCUCCUUUUUACUCCCACUAUUCCAUCCAUCCCACAAAACGGGCACAGAGGCACAUACAGGGAAUGUGGAUCUACAGAGAUCAUAUCUCUGCAUAUUUGAAGAAACAAAUUGCCAUUACGUUAUUUCCUUUUAUCUUAUCCUUUCUUUGUUGUUCCUUAUGUUCUGGAGCUUUUUCUUCCAGGCCUUAAAGACUUGGCUGAUUAUCUUCCAGCAUCCUUGGCAACUAUUGUAAGUUACUUCUCUGCUGAAGUAACUCGUGGCAUCUGGAAACCAGUUUUCAUGAAUGGAACUGAUUGGCCAAGCCCUGCUGCCAAUCUCUUUUAUGUUGAGGAACAAAUAAAGAAAAUUUUAGCUGCCACUGGUGUUGAUGUCCCAAGCCUUGCUGCAGGUUUCUCUCCCUAUCAAAAAGUUUCAAAUAAUUAAGUUAUUCUAUGAUGGCUUACUCCAUGUGUUACAAUAUUUGCUUAUUCUGUGUUAAAUCACGGGCUCCCAACCAAUGUUUGCUUUGGUCAGAAAUUUGGAAAAAAAAAAAUCUUAUAAAUAUCAGAGGUUGAUACACCUUAAAAUACUAUUUAUGUUUCUUCUGAACCUUAGAAUACUUUGGUAGGAUACUAAAGUUUCAACGGAUUUUUGCUUUCAAGGUCCGUAUGAUUUUUGGUUGCUUUAUUCCAUUCUUACAAUAUUUAUGUUACCUCAGUUGUUGACUAGAAGUUUAAAUUUCUCUAGGGGGGAACUCUCCAGGAACACUUCCACUGCCGUUGGCUGCAUUUGUGAGCCUCACUAUAACAUACAAACUUGAUAAAGCCUCGCAACGGUUUCUCAAUCUGGCAGGCCCAGCAUUAGAGUCCCUAGCAGCAGGUUGUCCAUGGCCAUGCAUGCCGAUUGUGGCUUCUCUGUGGACCCAAAAGGCAAAACGCUGGAGUGACUUUCUUGUAUUUUCUGCCUCUCGUACUGUCUUCCUACACAACAAUGAUGCAGUUGUUCAGCUGCUAAAAAGUUGCUUCUCCGUGACUCUUGGCCUGAACACAACCUCAGUAACUAGCAAUGGGGGUGUUGGGUCACUUCUUGGCCAUGGAUUUGGAUCACAUAUGUACGGUGGGAUUUCUCCAGUAGCCCCAGGGAUUCUAUAUCUACGUGUUUACAGAUCAAUCAGGGACAUCAUGUUCAUGAGAGAAGAGAUUGUUUCUCUGCUGAUGCAAUCCGUGAAAGACAUAGCAUGCAGUGGGCUACCUGUAGAACAACGAGAAAAGCUGAAGAGCGCCAAAAAUGGCAAGUAUGGGCAUGUUUCACUUGAUACAAUAAUGAUUAAGGUGAAACUAGCAGCUUCUUUGGGAGCUUCACUGGCAUGGUUAACUGGUGGACUGGGGCUUAUGCAGUCAUUGAUAAAAGAAACCUUGCCUUCUUGGUUUCUGUCAGCUCACCCAUCAGACCAGGAAGGGGCCUCCACUAUGGGAGUCCCUAUGCUCCAAGGGUAUGCGCUGGCAUACUUUACAGUGUUUUGUGGAGCACAUGCAUGGGGUUUAGAUGCAAUAUCAUCAUCAUCAAAGCGACGUCCAAAAGUUCUUCGGGAGCACCUGGAGUUUGUAGCUAGUGUCCUUGAUGGCCAAAUAUCACUCGGUUGUGACCCAGCCACCUGGCGGGCUUAUGUCAUGGAGCUUCUGAGCCUGAUGGUUGAUUGCUUUUCCUCUUGGAUGCUUGAGGUGGAUGUAAUGUUGUUGAAGAGACUGGGUGAAGGGCUGAGGAAAUGGAAUGAGGAAGAGCUUGCUCUAGCUUUGCUGUGCCUUGGGGGGGCUGGUACAAUUGGGGCAGCUGCUGAACUGAUCAUAGACACUGACUUGUAGUUCUACUUAUGUACAUGAAAUUUUUGUAGGUUGAUAAAUUUUAUAGACGUAACAGAUGUAACUCAGUGUACAGGUAGGUAAACUUGUGCAGAAUGAAGAUUAUGAGAAUCUAACUCACUACCGUAGUACAAAUCCUUAACCAAUUGAAAGUGAUUUAAUUUGAUGGGGUGAUGUUGAGCUGAUGAAACUGGAUAUGGAUCAUGAACUUAUAAGAGUCUACUUGACAAGAUAUUUGGUCGAGUGUGUCACCAUCCUUGGUUACAAAGGGGAAGGAGGAGGAAGUAAAAAUGCUGGGGGAUUUGCAUUGCAGCUGUUGGAGCUGGUUGAGUUCCUAAAUAUCAAUACUGAUCCUAUUCACCAAAAAAAAAAAAAAUUAAUAAUAAUAAUAGAAUAAAAUAAAAAAGAGGAGAAAUCAAGAUAAUAUACUAUUUUCAAUGCGUGCUAUGCAUUUCAUCAUGCUCCACUCUCCAUGUCCGCUUGUACCAAAGCCAAUUUGGAAGACAAAUACCCUUGAUAUAUACAUAGAAGUUCUCUCCUCCAGCCCUCCUCUUCUCCCUCCCUGGACAGAAUAAUGACAAUCUCUAAUCAAUUGUACCAUGGCUCGCUCCUAAUUUCUGUCAUGUAAAGUUGAAGGAAUUUUUCUUCUCUCUCCUUCACCCUUGAUCCCUUACUAUAUAGCUUACCCUAGUUUGCUUGGAGACUAACAGCAGUUUACACGUACACAAUCUUCACAAUUUUCACUAAUAUCCAAGCAACCAUAUUUAGAUGCUGCUUAUUAACUAUUGCUUAGUUCAAAAAUAAAAGGUAUUUUCACAUCAAUUUAAAGUACAAAAGGAGCUUGAACAAAGCAUUGUAUAAGAGUAUUUUAAGUGCUGAAUCCUGUGAACUGCAACUGCCGAGGAAUUUAUCCUAAUGCAUAUGAAUUGUAAAAACUUAUCCAAGAAGAAAAAUCCUAACACAGAGAUGACCCAAAUACGAACUAUGCUCAUAAGAUUGUUAUUAAAUCAAAUAACGCCACUAUAUGCAGGGGAUCUCAUCAAUCCUUGAGUUUGCAUUGCUUUCCUAACUAAAAAUGCAUCACCCCACCUCCCUGCAUCAGCAUAGAUGUUAGACAGGAGAACCCUGCUUGGACCAUGAGAAGGCUCCAAUCUUGCCAAAUUCUCGGCAGCCCUUUCUCCUACUUCCAUAUCACCGUGUGUUCUACAUGCUGCCAGUAGUGUUCCCCAUAUCACAACAUCUGCCUUCAUUGGCAUCCUUCUUAUUAAUUCUUCUGCUUCUUUAAGUCUUCCUGCCCUACCUAGAAGAUCCACCAUGCAACCAUAGUGCUUGACAGUAGGCUCUAGAUUGUAUACACUCUUCAUGCUCUUAAAAUGUUGAUCUCCAACUUCCACCAACCCUGCGUGGCAGCAUGCACUCAAGACUCCAAUAAAUGUAAUAGGAUUCAGUUUGAUUUUACGCCCCUGCAAGUCAGCAAAAAUUCUUAGAGCCAGUUCAGCAUGUCCAUGCAUGGCUGAGCCACAUAUCAUAGCAUUCCAUGGUGAAACAUCAGAUGCCUUAUCUUUCAUUUGUCGGAACACUUCUAAAGCACUGCUCAUGCUACCACAUUUGGCAUACAUAUCAAUAACUGCUGCACUAAGAUUGUCAUUAAGAGGGAUGGAGUUGUCGCAUAUGUAUUCAUGAGCCCAUCUUCCUUCAUUUAACCUACCCAAUGUAGCAAUUGCAGAUAGGACACUAACCAUUGUAAUUUCAUUUGGUUUAACUCCUCCAGCUACCAUCGCAUGGAAAAGCUCCAAAGCUAUCCCAGGCUGUUCAUUUUGCGAAUAACCAGAAAUCAUUGAGCUCCAUGAGAAAACAUCUCUCUCUGGCAUCUCAUCAAACAAAACCCUAGCUUCAUCAAUCCUUCCGUUUCUAAUCAGUCCUGAGAUGAGGGCAUUCCAGUUUGCAAUAUGGUGUUUGCUUCCUAGUUUGAACUGCAACCAAGCAAGACCAACCUCCUCACAAGCAGCAUAAAAAUGAAUAAUUGUUGCCUGUAUAAAAUCGUAACAAUCAAAGCCCUUCUUCAUGGUUACAGCAUGAAACUGCAGACCAUCCUUAACAGCAGCAGAUUGUCCACAAGCUGAAAUUAUAUCAACAAUCAUCACUUCGUUAGGCCCCAACCCAGUACAAACCAUUUCACGGUAAAGUGUUAAAGCCUCAGUCAACCUCCCAACUUGCACAUAACCAUCAAUUAUUGUACCCCAAGAAACCACAUCUUUAUCAUCUAUCCUCUCAAAAAACUCUCUAGCCAAAUCAACCAAACCUGCCUUAGCAUACCCAUUCAACAUCACGUUCCAUGAAACUACAUUCUUUUCAGGCAUCUCAUCAAAGAGCCUGCUCGCAUCCCUUAAAUGAGAACGCAAGCAGUACAUAUGAACCAAAUUAGUCGAAACAAUAACAAAUCCAACAAGCCCAAGUUUCAUCACCAACCCAUGCAGUGGUCUCCCUUUCUCAAAUCCCCCACCAGCCACAUGCAAAAAAGCCGUAAUCACACUUGCCAUGGUAACUUCAUUCGGAAGCACCCCAGACAUCAUCAUUUCCUGGAAAACCUUAAUUGCCUCACUCGAAGACCCGUUCUGAGCCAGACCCAUUAUCAUAGUUGUAAAAGAAACGCAGUUUUUCCCAGGCAUUUUGUCAAACAACUCACGGGCAUCAUUCAUAUACCUUAAUUUCACAUAGCCAGAGAGCAUAAUAUUGCAAGAAACAGCAUCAAGCUUCUCACAGUCAUCAAAAAUCCUUUUUGCACUAGAAAUCAGCCCACAUUUCGAAUAGAAGCUGAUUAAACUAUUUCGGAUAAAAAUAUUGCAAUCAAGGCCUAAUUUUGCUAUAUGCCCAUGAAUUCCUUGGCCUUUAGGAAUCAAUAACAUAGAAGAGUAAUCUUUCAAAGCGGAGAUGAUUAGGAGCUCGUAAUUGGGUUUUGAACUUCUGAGUCCUUUUAGGUUUUCUUCGGUGGGAUGGGGAGGUUGGUUCAAAGGGGUUACAGAGGACAGGCAUCUGGGAGAUUGAUAGGUGAGUAAAGAGAAAAGGGUUGAGAAAUGAAGGGGUGAUUUGGGUCUGAGAGCAAAGUUCAUGAGACGAGAUCAUGAGGAGUUGUUUCCAAGCAUUCCAAGUUCUGUUCUGGAGAGUUUCCGUCUGCUAACGAACUUUUGGAGGGGAAGAGAACGGCAGUUAUGGUGGAAAACCCGGCCGAUUGGCACACACUGGGCCUUUUCAAUUUGACGAGCUAAUAAUGAAGGUUGGUCCUUUCUAAACCCUGCUAAAGAAACAACGCCUUUAUGAACAGGCUCCAAAAGGCGUAGAAUGUUGAUGCAAACCAACCAUCACACGCCUUCACCUGCCGUUCCACUUUUUGGCCUGGUACAAAUGAUCAGCGUUAAACUCCAUUUUUUCCCCACUUUUAAAUUGUUACAAAGAAAAAUCGGGUCUCUUCUGACGCGGUUGCCUUCUGUUCUGUUUUACAACAAUUUUGUCUGACCAGGACUGGAGGGACAAAAAUUUUAAAAAACCAGUUUUUUCACUGAGGAAGAAAAGAUGCCAACUAUACUAAAAAGAAGGCCUCUUUCACAUUAUAGUCACUUCUUUGAACAUAUAUGGGGCAGCUUUGUAGAUUUUAUGACUCUUUUUAACUUUGUCGUUUGACUUCAGUCGCAAAAAAUAGGACUUGCACAAACCAUUGGGAUCGAGGCAUUUUUCCCUCUAAUGGAAUUCUUGGAGUUUAAGACGACAAAUGUAUCGACCAAUGCCUACAAAAUUCUUCUGAUCUUGUUAUUGUAAAUCUCAUUGCUAGCUGCAAAGCCCUUGUCUCCAUUGUAAUAAAAUAACCACCACGAUCCUUCAUAACAUUGCUCAUGGUAUACACAGUCCCACAAACACAUGCCAAGAUUAAUAAUAUACUUUUAAAGACAGAAUGACAUGGUUCCUGGUGCUAGACUAAAACCAUAGCUUAAUUAGUAGCUAAAAGCUGUCCACUUUGAUUUUUAUCAUUUAUUCGCGUUUCAUUUGGUAUAUCCUUCCAGACAAGAAUUUGUAGAGUUUGAGGAGGUAUGUCUUCUGGUAUUAGGACUAAAGAAUGGUUCUAAACAAGAACAACAGAGAUGUUAAAAAAACAAAAAAGGAAAAAGAAAUGGUGCAAGAAAAAGCAUGUGGUUGAGAGCCAAAGUGCACAGCCAUCAUGAGCGGUCAGCGAUGAUCGCCAGCACCAUAAAGAGCAAGACUCCUGCAAAUAGGAACAUAAAGAGUGAAACAUUACAACUCCAUGCUGUAUUAGCACUUCGAACAAUACAGCCAGUAGAUAGUCACUACUACGUUAACACUUUGAGCAUUACAGCCAGCAAAUAGUCACUAUACUACCGAUAUGAACAAUACAUGAGUAGCCCUCAUCUUGCUAUGUUUCAAGGAACAAGACACAUCAAUGGCAUAUCAAAUGUCAUAAAGAGUCUAAUACAGGUCUGGAAGGUUUAACAUUGUGGACAAUACUAAUAAAUAGUAACAACUAAAGGGGAUAAAUAAGAGAAGAAAUUCUCAAAAAUCCUCAAGAUUUCUUUAAAGAUGGGGUUGCUAUGAACAUCCCAGGCAAGCUGACAAUGCCAUAAUUCUAUAAAAUCAAACCAUUAUAACCUUUGCCAUUUAGUGAUUGAAAGAGUACGCUAAGUACUUCAGCAAUCAUAUGCUUCCAUAAGGGUAAACCUACUCCAAAGUUAAUUACUCUAGUUUAUAUGCUACAAGAAUAGCUUAACAUACAAACCUAAGUUAACUAAACUAUUAGAACCAUAAGUUGACCUCUAAGAAGUACAUUUAUCACAGAAAUGCAGGAAUUUGGAAAACUACAGAAGUAACAUCUGGCUAUAGUUACAAGUUCAAACUCAAAACUGAUAGCUUUGUUCAAGUCUAUAGCAAGCCCAUUAACCCGACUGAUCCAAAAUCAUUUCCUUUGGCUCCAAUCCUUUUUUCAUUCUUCAGAUGCUUAGGGACUACAAGCAUUUAAUAUUUCUGCCUCAAUUGCAUCUUUCAUUUCCAGCACACAUCUCAAGUUGCUUCAAAUAACCUAGUUGCAUCAUAUGUAAAAGAUGCUCCACUAGAAAGAUUUAUAAACUCAUGUGGCAAACAUUCUCAACAAUAACCGCAUACCUCUGCAGGAAUUAAGACCCAAAAGUAUGCUAUUUGUGUGUGCCGUAUGAUUUUUAGGACAAACUUUUACCAGUUUUUGUUAGUCCAGCUAAAUGCAGUUACAUCCUACCACUCAUAGUAACAUGUCAUUUGGCCCUAAGAUUAGCAUGGAGGAUAAUGCUAGAAAACGAAACAUGGCUUGCAGUCAAAAUGUGGAAGAGGAGGUGCCAACAAACUGGUGUAGAAAAUUGAUACCUGAGAAGGACCAAAAAAAAAAAAAUCUAGACAAUGAUAUGGCAACCUUUUAUCUAGACAUUAAGUAAAGACUCAUAGAGACCCGCCCACUUUUUGUUGUCCAUCAUCCAAUUUGAUCUUUAUCUGAUAAUCGCAAUAAUGCUGGUUAAGGACAAUUACCCGCUCCUAGGAAAUGACAUCCAUUAUCAAGUACUGGAGAAAUUUCAGUUUCAAUAUAUGACUUAAGUCUGACUAUAGUAUAUUUAUCUUAAUAUAGUUUUCUUUCAAAAGAUAAAUUCGAAGCUCCCAUUUCCAAAUAGUAAGUUCAGUGGUGAAAAAAAAAAUGACCCAUAUUCUUUAUAGGAAAAUGGGAAUUCUUCUGGUAUGACCUGGGAUGUCUAAUGUAAAUGCAUGGAAAGACAUUUUUACAUGAUUAGUUGGAUAACUUUCUUGAAACUAACAUUUUUCAUUGGAUACCAUAGUCAAAUAGUUUGUGGUAUUGAUUUUGAUCCAACCGAGUUCUACUUAUAGCCACUAGUGUUCAAAGUACAAUUCAACAAUAACUUGAUCGUCUUCUCAAGCUAUUUUAUAUAAAGAUUGCCGGUUAAAAGAAGUGCCAUUAGUUUUAUCAAGAGAAAGACUUUUGGAAGCUCCAAAAUGAGCAGCUUGCUGUCUUAUACACCAAAAAAUACAUAAAACUCACCAGGAGCUAGGGCUGCAAGAAAAUCCAGGUCCAUUGUGAGCUUCCAGAUCUCACAAAAACAAGAAGCUUGCAUAUAUCUUCCAGACCAUAAACCUUAUAGAGCUACAGAACUAAAAUGCAAGGCCUUAACAAAGAUGUUAACAGCACUAAUUUGAGAAACAAUACGAUGUGUAUCAUCUAGUGCAGACGAUUACAAGACCUUCCUUGAUAAUCUUCUCAAAAGUCAAGGAUCUAGGAUCUAUUGAGAUUUGCCAACCAUGAAAAAAAGGCACUUUGGGUCCAUUAACUAGAUCAAAAGUUGGUGCUUGGACAGUCUAAAACUAAAUGGAAUCCAAACCAAAUUCCCAUGGUUUUCUAAACCCCAUUUUAGUUCAUUUCAAGUACCUUUUCAGCCGGACACUCUCCCAAUUCCCAAUUCUCCUCUCCUGCACAAUUCACAGAUACCAUCAUGGCAAAUCCAGAGGGGGUAAUGUCAUCGGAUCUCGAGCAUUAUAAUCGCUGGAUUAACAAUCAGUUGAUGGUAAGGUAGUAGUUCAGUAGGAAGAUCCAACAGGUAAUGGAAUAGGCAUUGCAGAGGGGAAGAGAAGAGAAAGAAGCUUUGGUUGAACAUUACACGAGGAAGUGAAAAACCAGUUCUGGGUAAUUAUGCUUAGGCUAUGCAGGAAUAGAAAACCUUGUACAAGGGAGGCCACCACCUUAGUGUGCUCUGUGAGAAAGCAGCUUAACUUAAACUUCCUUCAGUCUUAGUUUUACUAUGUGACUCUGUCUGUAACCAAAACCACUGCCAGGCAAGACCUUAAUACAUAGCCAUCAAGAAAAAUAUAACAAACGUCAGAAGACUAUUCCAUCGAGAAUAAUGUAGAAGCGUCAACUUUACAAAAUAUCCAACCUUUCUAGACAAUCCAAAUGGUUUUAUACGGUAAAACAAAUGGCUUUAACCCCACAAACUUGCAAAAAAAACCCAUUACAAACUCAAAGACAAAUAAAUUCAAAAAAUUCAUUGAGACACAAACCAUCAUUCGUCCUAUAAUCAGCUCAACAAAAAAAUCCUUUCGGUAAUCAGUUUGGCAUAAGCAUCAAAGCGCACCAUUCUACUUCAGUGGCCCAAAUUUAUCGUCUAAACCGCAUGCAAUAAACAAUCAAUCAGACAAGAAAUAGCCAGCAAUUCAUAGUCUAAUAAAAUCUCAAAUGCAACAAAAGAGUAUCUGAUCAACACCAAAAAGACUCACUUUUUACGGCGGCUACUACGUUUAGGGCCCCAACCUUCAAGUUUAGCAACAGGGCAACCACACUUAGCUCUGAAAAGCAGGACAGCUCUUCCAUUAGGAGGAGCCAUUUUCCUCAACUCAGCUCUCAAGCAUUCAUAAUCCGGGUUAAACUCGUUUCCACCUUUCCAGGGCAACUCAUCAAUCUCCUGAACAGCCUUAUUACCCUUCCCUAAUUUCAAGCAAUCUUCACCCUGCAACUGCAAAUCGAAUUCCAUUGCUUUUUUCAACCCUUUACACCCAAGUUUCCCGCACUUUCUUGAUCUGGGCCCACAGCAGAUCUCGAAAAAAAUCAACAUGAAAACCAAGGACAAAAUCAGGGAGGUGAAGAAAAUGUGGUGGACUUGGAGGUGGGAGUAAAGAUAAGAGAGGAGAGUGGAAAGAGAGAGAGAUGAUGAUGGAGGGAGUAGGAGGGAGAGGGAGUGGAAGAUGUAGGAGAAGCAGGAGGAGAUGAGGAAUGCUCCGGCGAAGAGGACAAGGAUGAGGAUGAGGAGGUCAAGGGUGGCCGAAGGGGAGGAGUGUUUGCAGAGGGAGUGGGAGUUAGAGGCUGAUGAGGGGCAAUUUUGGGAAUUUAAGGAGGUGGGAUUUGUGGGUUUUUUGAGAGGUUUGGAGGGGGAGGAGUGGGUGGUGGAGGAGGAGGCGGAGGUGGUGACAGGGGCCAUGGUGAUGGUUGAGAAGAGGAGGUGAUGGCGCAUGUUAGUAAGGAGGGCUCGGGGAGGAGGCUGGGAAUGGCGUGGGUGGUUUUCAGGUGUGUUAGCUUUUAUUUAUUUCUUUAUUUAUUGGUUUAUGUGGAAAAUACUAAAAUGUUGAGUUGAAGCUUGAAGGUGGACUGUGCGCAGCUUAGCGGUGAGGGGCGCCAGAUGUGCGCAGCUUAGCAGAGAAGUGAAAAAGGGUCGUCGACGGCGGAUGCGCGCAUGUUAGCAUGGUGGGAUGGUGGCUUUAGAGGGUGCGUAGGUUAUCUUUCCACCAAUUGUUUAAUCAUGAAGGCAGUUAUGGUCAAGAGACUUGGCAGUUCAUAGUCUAGGCCACCGCUUAUUUAUACAUAAUAUACAUAUCUAAAUCUUGUAUCAGCUUUUUGUUUCAAUUCGUUGUCUCAUUUCUGGAGGGUCUGUUCGUUUAUGUUUUAUGUGUGUUUCUAUAGCCGAUUGGAUUCAGAAAAUGCUUUUUUAAGUUCAGAUUUUAUUAACGCUUGUGCAAUAAAGACGCCAGAAACUGUUACUGCUCAAGUUAGCAAGUAGUGUUGCUAUAUCUAAGUAACUCUUCAAAUGACUCAUAAUUGCAGUAUUCUUGAGCUGUUCAAGUUUCACUAGCCAAGGGCAGGUGCAACCGUUCUUGAAGGUUAUGUGUAUUUUGCACACAGCAUGGCUCUGUUUGUAUAUUGUGUAACUUACUUUCAAUAACGUAUAAUUUUAGAACAAAAUUUUAUGAAUUCCACACCUAUUAUUGAAAACGAGGUACAAAAUGAGAUUUGGACUAUAACCAAAUUUUGGCUGUGAAUUGCUCGGGAUGGAUCCGCUGAUGACCGUCCCUGCCCCAAAUCCAAGUUUCACAUAGUUAGUUCAGAUGAUGACUUGUGCAGAAACAUAUUCCGGAUCUUCUCAGAUAAGAUAGUGAAGUUUGGACUUCUUGCUUAUUUCCGCAGUUCUUUAUUGUUGUAUAAGAUAAAGUACUUUUACAGCUUCCAAUGCAUAAAAAGCAGACGUUAUGGAAGAAGCGCAGAAACCCUUCAAGAUUAUAGCGUUGCUUUCCGGGAACAGCGUGCAGCAAAAAUCCUGUAAUUCAACACGGCUUCCACAUGUUGAAUGCAGAAUUUGUCCCAGAAUUGACUAAAGCAUUUGCAAGUUGCAAUUUACAUUUAAGGAUUGGAAAAAAUUGCAGUGCCUUUGACUUUAGAGGAAGACGAGUAAAUAAGCUUGGUACCACAAAAAGGCAUAAUUGCAGCAGGAGCUUUCCACUGAUUCUAACUUCUCCUGUGGGUGCUUCCUGGCUGCUGCAAGUAGCUGAGAUUUGGCCCCAUUAAAUGCCACACACGUAUCGUCUGAUCCGAUGAUAAUUCAGCCAGCAUUGAUCCCAAGGGUCGAGUUGAACCUGUCCAGUUCCCCCGUAACUGAUGUAUGAACAAAAAAAAAAAAUCUUGAUCUCAACUAUUUUGAGCAGGAAUUGAUUGCAAUGUUUUCCACCCUACGGCCUAUAUUAGCUGCAUUUAGCUCCUAGCUAAAAGAAAACAGCAUCUAACACCAGGAAAAGGCUUCGAGGGGAACUGGAGGGAUCAUACAGCACCCAGAUUUUCCGUUCUUAUUGUAAGAGAGAAGCACCAAGUUUAAGAAAAGCACUACUUAUUAAAUACUGCAGUGAACCUGAUUGCACGCAUAAGAUGCGUCGACAGUAGUUACAUAUUAUCAUUUACAGAGAUUUAAAAACAUUACCAUAGCAUACAAAUAUUAACAGCAGCAGAAAAGUUCCUGGUAUCCAGCAUGAAUAACUCAUUAGAAUUCACGAUCAGGGAAGAUCAAAGGGGCCACGAGGGACCACACAUACAGGCCAGCAGUGACCCAUUCAGUGCACAUACGAACCCAAACUGAUGUCCAGCCAACAUCUAUUAGAUCUGAGCUCUCAGAACUGCUAGUCCAGCCCGAAAGAAGCAUAGCUGAAUACAUGCUAGCAAGAGCAAAUAUCAGGAGGAAAAAUGAAUACGAGUAACUAACUGGCCGUGGUUCAGCAUCUUUCUUAUCUUUUCCAGCUUCCAACUCAUCAGAUUCAAGAAGAGGUUUCUGUCCACCUGUUAAAAAAAUUGUUCAACAAAUUAGAAUUCAAUGUAACAUCACACAGCAUGAUCAAGGCUUCCAACUCUAGGAAGACAUCCAGUUUCAGCACCAAACUUCUAUGUCAUAGUUUAACAGAGCAGGAUGAUAACAAUAACCAUCCAGCACUGACGACUCUCCUAAAAAUCAUGAGACCUCUAUUUAAACUUAGUAAUAAUUUGGAAAGCUGGACAAAUACAUCUAGCACACUUGAGAAAUUUAGGAAAGAAAGAAAGCACUAACUCUGUUGUAGAAACCCAUGCAGUUCGACAGUUAAACCUAGUCAAAUUUUACAUGCCAAUGAGAAGUAUUUUCAUUAAAAAGGUACAAAAGCAGGAAAACAAAAUCAUGAUCUCAAGCGUCAUUUUCAACCACCUAUCUCAGUCAUACUAGAAAUUGUUCUAGAUGUGUAGUUGCUCGACAGUUUUAGCAUAAUUGAAAUGUCCAGAAGACCCAACCAAGCUAAGUUUUAUUGGUGGACUACAGAGUGGUUCUGUUUUUUUGGCUUGUGGUAGACAAUUAAAAAAAUUCUAUCAAAGUAGAAAUCUUUCAUUCUUAUGAGUACCAAAAUGGUGACAGAAUAUUAAUAGAACACUACAUUACUUCACUCUUGAAACCGCACGGCACAUCUUUGAUUUUAUAAUUCUCUAACAUAGCCUCAGAAAUUCUUAAAUUUUCUGAACAAUGAGUUAAACAUUAGGGAAGGAAACCUCUAAUAAAGCCCAUGUUAUCUUAAAAAGUUACGAAGCACUAGAUUCUGCUGAAUCUUGGUACCUGAUCUGGGUGAAGAUGGAGGGGACAAAAAUGUAGUAGACGAUCCAGCACGGAGUGCAGAAUAUAGAACUGAAAUGAUGGUCGUAAGCAACCCAAGAAUAAGAGUACUUGUUGAUACUGCUCUUGAUGCUUUGUGGAGACCAUUGCAAACAUAAUUUCGAGGUUCGCUAGACAGACCAGUAUAACACACAUAAGCACAAUAAACGGAAAUCACAGAAGCUGGCAACAGGCUCCCAUUUACCUGCCCAAAACCAUGUCAUUAUCACAACCAUUAUCUUCUAAGUGAAAAAUUGUACUCAUUGGAAAUUUCAACAAAGCUGCAGUGCCUUUGAAAGGAGCCCUGUACACAUAAAUUCCAUCUCAUUUUCAUCCAGAACUUUAUCCAAGUCAUAUAGAUCAUAUUCGAGUGGAAAGAGAAUGGGAAUGUUUACAUUACUGUCAGACAAGAUGAGAUUAGUCACAUACAGUUGCUAGAAAUUUGUAAUUGUUGACCUUCUAUGGAAAGCGAGUAAAAAUAAGCAAUGGAAAAAGGAAAGAUUUUUCAAUGAUUAACAAUGAAAAUCAAAGGAUGGCAAGAUUGGCUCUUGAAGUUCCAGAAUGUUAUCUGACAAAAGGAAAACACCCAUUAGAUAUAGACUUAGUUUGUGUGGACCACAAGUUGUUAGGCAAGGCAUCUAUCACAGACAUCGUCCACCUGGAUAAUGAGGCUGCCUAAAGAACAUAAGGUAAAACAGAAAGAAUAUGGUGCCAUGUGCUUGAAUUGCAGUUCACAAAAAAGCCAAAAAGCACAAACUAAUUUACAUUACUCAUUAGUUUCAUCUGCUCUCUUAAAUAUACUGCAGCAGUGGGACAAAAGGAUGGUAGAAGUGUAAAUGUACUUGAAAAUGAAUAAAAUAUAUUGGGCUCGGUGUAGUAACAUGCAAAUCCUAAGUAAUGUAAGAAAAAGAGAGAAAUAGUUCAUUUACCGCUGGGUGUAGUGCGAUAACAGCAAAUGCUAAAGCAAGAAUCAUAGUCAUGACAAUGAAGAAGAUGUUAAGACCACAAUCAUGACCAGAAGGAUUGAACCAAAUAAAGAGAACCCCUGAUAAUGCAUAAGCUCCAAGAUAGCAUACUACUGAUAUGACAAGCAGAGCAAUGUACCUGAAAAAGAUCAAUCAAAGUAUCAGAAACAAUCAAAGAAGAUGCUGGUUGAGAAAAGAUAUAAAAUAUAAUAACUUAAACAGACCACUUCUGCUCAUCUUUUGCAACCCAUGCAUCAUUCCAUGUAUGUGUAGCAUCUAAUAGUAUUAUUACUUGAACCAAUAAGAAUAAUCCUGCCCCAAAUUUUGAAAUAAAUCCUGCAAAGGAAAUUGGUUAGUAGUAGCAAUAUAAAUAACUGCCUAUCUGAAAUAAGUCAAAAUUACCAAUCACAGUAGGUUUAUUAACAAUCUUAGCAUAUCACAUAGGAAGCAUCAGCAUCAUUGAAAGUUUGAACAAAACAAAGCCAAGCAACAAGCCUUUAAUGAAUUGUGUCCAAGUAUUCCUAGUUGGAAUUCUUUAAAUGACAAACCGGAGUGUAUCAGCAUACUAAAUAAUGAUAUCUACCACAGAUUCUUAAGGUAAGUCUCAAGUUGAAAGCAUUGUCAUAGAUUCUAUCACUUGAGACCAGUACCGCUGAAGGGCAAGUGUCUAUUGAAGAGCCUUUUUGGCUGUAGUGAAAUAUUUUGUUGUAUAGCCCCUUCCAUGCCAAAGUAUUUUGUAUUAUAGACAUUUACUCAGACAGGAUCAUAACAGAGUUAGAAUCUUCACCAUGCAGAGAACUCCAUGCAUCAGCAGAAGGAACUCAGAUUUGAACAAUAAAAAAUUCAAGCUGGAGAAAUAUUUACAUCUACAGUUGUAAAACUAACCAUAGAUUGUAAUAACAACAUUUGGGAUGAAAAACAUUAGGAUGACUAGUAAAGCCCAAAUGACCAUCUUGACAGUCCAUCCACCAUGAUGCCAGGAGUCACGCCUGUCAUUUUGAUCCUUGACACCAAUCAUUAGAAGAGCAAGAACUCCAAAAAAUAAGAAAUUCCCCAAGCUGACACGAAGAACUGCUUGUAUUUGAAACCAUUCUUUUGACUGAUCAUCCGAAGUAUUGAUCCCUAGGAAUUGAAGUAAUAAUAUGUUCACAUUAGUGAGACGUCUAAUUCUGCUAAAUAUAAUUGUGAACUAGAAAUAUAUUGAGGCCAAAAUAUGAAAUCAAGUUUUAAUUGAACACAUAAGCAAGUAGAGAUUAUCAGCUUCUCAAAGUUUAUAGCUUUAGUCAUUACUUUGUCAAGUAUAUAUGCCUGGCCUUAUAGGUGUUAUUUAUCCAAAUAUUGAUAUUUUUAGUGCAAAUUAAAAAGAAAAUUUUUGUUGGUUUUAUUUGUAUUCCUUCACAGGGAAAGAGAUUUCUAGGAAAUCAACUUUAUAUCAAUUCGCUAGAAAUGGACUUCUUUUUCUACAUCGAUUCCCAAUAAUAUUUCUGAGACUUUAAAAUCAGAAUUUUUACAACACAUUUCCUUAGUUUGGGAGCACCAACAAAAACCAACAACAUAAAGGAAAUAAAAAUAUCAAUAUUUUGGUAAAUAGCAUGAAGAUAUAGACUUAUAUCUGCAGAUGACUUAAACAACUAAAAACAAGGAUUUGGCGGAGAAUAGGGGCUUCUGGAUAUAGGUUCAACUAGUAAGCAUAGAACUCCAUUUACACUGCUGUCACAACUUGGUUCAUCACAAAGGCAAUUUGAAAUGAACACAGAAGUUACAAGCAAAGAAUGAAAGUCCAACUUGGGUUGCCUUCAACGCACUAAUAGUAUUAUAGAGAAAACAGGGGCCCUUGAGUCUUUGCAGAACUCAGCUCAAAUGCAUAACUUAAAAGAGAGUAACAUGGAAAGGAGUCUAAGAACUCAGAUAAUGUUGCAAGGAAAAUGCAUCAAGUAUUCUUUUCCUGGAAUUUUCGAACGCAUAGGCAGAUCUUCUUAUGUUAUUGUUAUCACUUUCAAUGGCAAAGAAAGUAGCUUUUUGCCAUUAUCAUUCAACAACUACAGAAAGAAACUAGAUAGUGUUUAUCCUAACCAACUAGCGAGGGUCAUAUCUCAUUGAACUAGUCUGACAAAACUAGCAAUUCUCAGAAUGCUGUUAUGUUGUUACCAUGAUACAGCUUAUGUUGAAACCAUGGAGACAAUCACCACUUGCAUGUAGUUGCUUAGUUCUGUCUUCUUAAGAAGAUUCUGCUUCUUAGUAAAUCCUCCCAAAUAAGUCAAAAAAAUUAAAGAAAGUCUGUUCCUUUAUAAAAAACCAUUGACACUUCUAAAACCCUUCCGUUCUAUUAUAGAUAUCUUUUUCUUCUAAGAUGGCUCCCCCAUUAAAACUCUUUAACUUUAUCCCCUCUCAUAAUUUCCUUGAUCUCACAGUGGAAACAAACUCAGGAUUUCCGCUCUAUAUUUGACAAAUGAAUACAAAAGCACCAGGAAAUGCAAAACAUAGAUAAGAAUCCAGUUUUCCUUUUUUCCACCUUGUGAUAUCUCACAAAAAGAAUAAAUUGCUAGAAGAAAACCGAAAAGAAGCUCACAAAUUCCAAAGGAAAAAAUCCCAAAUCAACAAAUUACUGGAAUUCUUUGACAAGAUCAAACACCAUCUCGUCAGUUGCCCUGAACUUAAUAUUGAAGAAGAUAAUAAGUUGUCUAAUCACCUCAGUUCAAAUGAGUCAUAAAUAACAAGAACCCGUCAGAAAUAUCGGUAAAAUGAUUAAAUUCACCAAUCAAGUUCAACUAAGAAAGUGAGAUUUUUUAUCACUGUGAAUAAACAUCUUAUAUUAGAUAUGUCGGAAAAAGGAAAAGAACCCAGAUAAGAAAAUUAAUGAAAAUGGACAAAGAUUUCACAAAAAGAGGGAAAAAAAGGUAUUUUGAGGAAAUUACAAGGAAAUUUCUCCAAGAGUGGAGCACCAACUUCACGUAGAAUCCAAGAAAUGAUCAAGGAAAGGCCAAAGAGGCCACAGUAAGCAAGUCUAGCUGACUUCUUGCUGAUCCCUGAGGCCACUGAAGAGCAGAGCCCACAUGUCAGAGAUGCACAGCAUGAUGCCAAGCACGACAUCUUUCUUGCUUCUCUUUUGCGUAGAUUUGAUUAGUGUCCCUUCUGCGUGAAUAUCUGUUCUAUGGAGCUGAUUGUCCAAUUCUUCAAACAAGGGAUGAGGGUCAUGAGACGUGUUCAGUCAAGCUGGAAGGUAGAACCGUGAACGCGAAAAAAAAAAAUUCUUGAAUUGCAGGACCUCCCUCAAGUUUGCUAGAAAUGUAGUCAGGACUCCUAUGAUUUGGAAAAUUACGUUGGCUUCCUGUUUCAAGUAUUGUACAUUUGUACUUAGUUCUUCCUUACUAUAGGAGGAUAAUUUGAUAGGUAUAAAGUGCAAGUUAAUGAACUACUUUGGUACGAGAGGAUUUCAGAUUGACAAAGCGUAAGCUAAUCCCAAGACCUUCAAAAUUAAUCAGGAAAUUUUGUAGUUUUUCUCUCUGGACAAAAGGGUGCAAUAAUAGCUAAUGCACAGGCAAGUAAUUCUACUUUUACCAUGCAUACAGAAACUUAGAAAGCAACACCUAGAGUAGUUUAUCCCACGUCGGGUCGGGGGUUGGGUUAGUUGGGUAGAUAAGUCCUCGGGGUUGUACCAAGAGUUACCGGCUUUUGGUAUUAACUCUGGGAUUAGGUUUAUUUCAUUCGGCAAAAGUCAAUUGCUUUGAGUCGAAAAAAGACAAACUGCUCGUUAGGAUUAGCAUGCUUAGUUCAUGUGCCAGGGUUCUUAGCUUAGGUUGGGAACACCUAGAGUAGUUUAUCCCACAUCGGGUCGGAGAGUUGGGUUAGUUGGGUAAAUAAGUCCCUAGGAUUGUACCAAGAGUUGCCAGCUUUUGGUAUUAACUCUGGGAUUAGGUUUAUUUCAUUUGGCAAAAGUCAAUUGCUUUGAGUUGGAAAAAAAAAAAAUGGACCAAUGGUUGUGCAACAUUGCUCGCCUGUUGGAGACCUGGGGUGACUUAGAAAAUUUGCUGGUAAAGGAUGAGUACAUCUAAUUGUCAUUCUUUGAAAACUUGUACUUUCAUCACUAUUCACUAGUUGGUCUGGUCCACUGCCUGUUUCUUUUACCAGAUCUAGACUAGUGAUCUAGUACAUCUAAUUGUCUUUCUUUUUGCACUUUCCCGGUGAGGGGCACGAGCGGUCUCUGACGACUGCUCCUGAACUAUUCACGGCCAGAUUUUGGCCAGAAAAAAAUAUAUAUAUGAUCCAGAUCACUAGUUGUACAUUGAUUUUCAUAAUGUGUGUGAAAUUUAUAAAAUUUUGUAUAAAAGUUACACAUUAUGUAAAUAAAAUUACGCUAUGUGCAACCAAAAUUACGCGCCAUUAAAAAUAGCCAAAACCGUCCGUUCCUGCUCCUUGUCCGCACUUCCCUGUUUCCAUUCUCCUACAUCAUAUGCCAUCAAACUAUUUUCAGCUGUACUCAUGUGCCCUAACGAGUAAUCUUCAUUGGGUCAUUCACUGACUUGGCUCCUGUAUAUGUACUAAGUCCACGUAUGGUAGUAAAUGUUAGGGUCCAAAAUGGCUAAGCCUGUGGUAUUCCUGUAGACUACUACUGAUAAUGAGACUCACAAAGCUUUAGGAACAAUUUUACUCUUCAUCUCAACAAUCAAGAUGCCCCUGAAUUCCUCUACAGUAUCUGAUAUUCACCAUUACUAGGCUCAACCACGUAUCCCUCUAUGUGUGUAAUUAGGAUAUGAUCUAUCUUAAAUGGAACCAUAGGGUGAUAUAGAGUUGAAAACCUUUGCAAGUUUUUAUCAUUCCAGUAUGGUAGAAUUUACACAUAUUAAACAUAUCUACUGUGAAAAGUGAAUUCUAGAAAUGGCUUAACGCAUUUUUUUCACCGCUCCUAGAUAAGUAAUUAGACUGUCAAUAUACAUGAUUUUGACAAUUUACUUCCUUCCUUCCUUUCACCUAACCAAGACCCCAAAUAUACCUCCUCCUCCUUCACUAUCAUGGAUUGGUCUUCCCAACCUCUCCUGUCAGUUAUCACAUCCCAUUUAUUUCCCCAUUGAUUAUUGAGUUUUAGUUUUCGUUAUACAGAUAAUAAACGAACAAGAUGAAGAUUGGCUUUUACUCUCCCCUCUUUCUGCAUAGUUAGAAUCUCUUUUCCUCUUGUCAGUUCUUAUCCUGUCCCUUGAAAGGGAAUGUUGUGAUUGUAGUGUCUCAGUUAGUCAUGUCAUUGGACUACAUACUACUAACUACUUCAUCUCCAUCCAUUAUUGUACUUCCCACCAAGAAAGCAAAAAUUGCAACAGGAAAACAUUCCCCCACACUUACAGAUUUUUCUCAUUUUCUUGCUUUUCAGUUCAAUAACCUAUAAAGCACAAACAUUCAAGUUGUCUCCAACUUGUCAACAUUCCCCAAUAACAUUCUGCCACCUGUCUUUCAAGCCAUCAGACAGCAAGGGAGCUAAGCUAAAUGUGUGUCCUCAAUUGGCAUUGGACCUGAACUCCCAAAGGGUCCUUAAGUUGUAUCAACCACAUUAUCUUUAAUUGAAGCCUAUGUGAUAGCUCGUUAUCAAUACUUUCUAUCCUAGAGGUCCACCAAGAUUUCUCUGUUAGACUGAUAAUAUAAAGGAUCUUAUCUUUGAUCUUCUUCAUUACGAUAAAGAUUGAAGUGAACCCUUCUUGUUUCUUGCCAUUCUUUGCAAAUGAGAGUGGGACAUGGUUCAAAGUUCGUACCUUAUCUUACUGUUUCUUGGUAGGGGCAAGUUGAAAUUGAUGAUCGCUCAUAGUCAAGGGUUACCACUAUGGGGAAGAGGGUCUUGGAUUCAUCAACAUAUGGAUUAAUUCAAUCUGUUUACACUAUUUGUUUUUUAUUAUAAAGUUGAUCCUAAACACAAAACUCUUUGUUCCCUAGCAAGUACAUGUCUUGAAUUAUCAAUCUAGUUUUACAACACAAGCAAAAGUAUAUGUCUUGAAUUGCCAGAUGUACACAAUGUUUUGAUGGUAUUAUUAAAUGCAUAGUAACGAGUCAAAUCAAUAAUUGUUAAGAAAUCCUCUUCUUGCACACGUUAUUGUUUUCCUGGAUGUUUGAAGAAUUGCUAACUAGUUAGAGAAUCUUCAAGAAGGUGUCUUGGUCAAGGAGGGUUUUGUUCUUCUCAUUGCAGCAAUAAGGUAGGGACCAAUACACGGUUCAUUGCAAGUUCAGGACCUGGAUACAAGUCCUUUAGUAAACACGGGCGGCAAUGAUAAGUGGCAGGCAAGUCUCAACUGAUUGAGAAGAUGUUAGCUUGAGUUAAGAUAGAUAAGGGCACGUGAAGCCAAUUGAUUCUGAGGGUACAAGAAGUCCCCACUAACUACAAAGUGCGCGUAAACCCCCAAAAAUCUACAUGUGGAUCCAAUUUGACUGCUAUCGAAGUCCAGUCCUUUUGCACACACUAUUUAAGCUAACAAUCACAAUAAUUAGGCCUCAGUUGCAGCAAAGCUUGGUUUAGUGCAUGUAAGGACUUACCUGCUGGAAGAUUUAUGGGAAAGAGAUUUGGCAAGUGGAGAAGAAUAGUGAGACAACUCAGGGGGAGGCUCUACAUUAUAAGGGUGUGCAUAACUAUGCUAUUGUGUUGGGAUGAAAAGUACCCUUAGAUUUUACAAGCAGGAUGAGCACUGUAAUUGUUAUAGAUUUUUCAGAAUCUGUUCAGCUUUGUGAGUAGUAUAUAUAUACUUGUUCAUAUGUUUUUAAAUGGUAAUGAAAAGUUCUGUUCAAAUGUUUCACCUGUAGUCUUAAAUGAGUGUUUCCAUUUAUUCAUUCUAUAUUAAAUUAGUUCCCCAUUUGUUUUUAUUGCAAGUUUCUUGGCUGCCAGUGAGCUUAAUGUUUCUCCCACUUUAAAUGAUGCUUGAGCAUGGUAUUGUAUUUUAUAUUGGGAUGUCAUUCUCUUCUUCAGUAUGGCAUGCAGAGAUGUUAGAUGACAUGCAUCUACGUCUUCAAGCAUGCAUGCAUGCAAAUCUUCUGAGUUCCUACUUGAGAAGCAAAAAUUAUGUCUCAGUAUUCAUUAUUUUGGACGUGCCUGCAACUUUGUAUAAAGGUGAACUUCCUCUUCUUCGAAGCAGUCAGGCAAACGUCUGCAACUUCUUCUUCUCCUUUUUUUUUUUUCCUUUUUGGGCAUACAAAGUGAAGCAUGCAACUUACAUGUAGUUAAUUUGUAUCCAUUUCCUUCAUUUGCUUGCACUUCGUGCGGGACUACUUAGCAUUUAACCAUGCGAAAUGGUUAAAUACUGAAGUAUUUCCUACCUGGGAAGAGACUAUAAGUUAGUUGAUGAGUGACAGUAACUUGUUAAAGUCCCCACACAGACAAUGAAAGAAUCACAUGUUAUGCUGUGUCUUUUGAAAACUCUACUUGACAUACAUUUGCUUUUUCCUAAGAGCCUGGGCGUGGUAAAUAUCCUCAGUAUUUGAUUCAAAAUUCGAACUCCAACACCUUGAUAUUGUCUCAAGGAUGCUGGAAGUCACAAAAGAAGAAUAAUCAGCAAGAGUCAUGCUAUUUUCACAGGCAAGUUGUGCUGAAGCUUAUAAUGAUAUCUUAGGAAUUCAUCACUUGUGCCAAAAUCUUUAAAUGCAAGAGGAACUCUUUUAAUGUGACAAAUGAAUCUUCUUGAAGCAGGUCUUGCUUCCUUAGCGUUUUUAUUGUUUUUUCUUCUCCCCUUGUAUGCGAAUAAUCUUCUGAACAUUUUUCACAGUACCCUUGUCCAACACUAUCCGAAUUUUCUGGAAUAAAUAUCCAUUUUAAUGCCUCUUUUGCUAGGAUUCUGGAAUUAAUAUCUAUAUCUUAACACAGAGAGACAAAUAUGUUGCUGUAAACUGACAGAUAUUGCCAUUCACUCUGUAAGGCAGGAAGACAACCUGAUGACUCUGCUUAUUCAUCUUUUGGUGAACAAUGGGACCCUUGCAUGCUGUCCUCAAUUCAACCCAAUGAGGGGCCAACAUCUGUUGACCACCACAUAUUUGAUAUUUCAUCAUUCACCUUAUAUAUACAAGUGCAUCUCUUCUCUACACUGAUCAUCUAAACACAAAAUCUUGACUACAUUUGUAUAUACAUUUCUCAUCUCUUGCUAGUACUAAAGAUCUCAACUAGUUCUUAUAGUACUUUCAGUUUUUCUAUCCAUGGCUGAGCAGUCAAUCUUUAGCAGAAAGCAAAGAAGGUUUUGGUCAUGGCAGAGGUGUUCGAGGUACAUCCAGGAGCAGCGUACCCGCCUCUAUAUAAUAUGGAAGUGUUCAAUACUUCUACUGCAGUGGAAUGACUUGUGACGCUUUGACCUCUGAAGGAUCAUCUAGUGCAAAAGGAGGACUGUGUAACAUACAAGAAAGCUAUGCAAAAGGAGGACUAUGUAACAGACGACAAAGCUAACUUAUAGGCGGUGCUAUAUGGAUAGUUGGGCAGCAUGAGAAAUAGGAGAGCCAAAGCCAGGAAAUCUGAAAGAUGAACUCCCAGAAAGCUUGUGAUCAUGAUGAUUUACCACAGCUGCUAUGUGAAAUUUAUGUUACUUAGCAUGAUGUAGAUGUAAUCUUUUCUGUAUACCCCUCCCCUCCUCCCUUCACUAAACUUCAGUCAGGUACCACAUGCCAAAUCUACAUGCUCGAGAUGUGCUAUGAAACGGAUCAUCUGAAAUUUCACCGUUGUUUUUAGCGCAAACGGAUCCCCUGGGCUACAGCAGUGAACACUCUAGUUUCAAACUUCAAAGCUUGUGAUAAAAUAUCCCUCAAUUCAGUAAUUCUCUCCAAUAGCCGGAGACUGCUACAUAUGCCUUUUUUUUUUAUCACUUUAAAACCUGGCCAAUUUACACGUAAAAUGCACUCAUAUAUGCUGAAUUACUUUCUCUAACUCGAGGAAGAUAACUUUUCAGUGGAAGAUCAUUGAUAUCAUGUAUUCCAUUCUCUAAGAGGUAUUAAUAUAGUCACUGUGUAGCUAUGCAAGAAUCCGCAAAUCACAUAGACCUUAAAAGCUCCAGUAUCAUAUUUAUCUAAACAUAUGGCAAAAUUUUCGUCAAAACGUACAUAAAAAAAUUAUAUGCAGUUUCAGGACUACAUAAUGAUGGACAAAUAUUAAUCCACCUCUCAGUCACCUACUACGUUUUGUACUCUCUGGGUGCCACUGUAUAUUCUCAGGAAGCCACCAAAUUACGAGCUCUGUCUGUAUCAUCUCUUAUCG